rnacentral:rRNA from 2 species
CCUUUAAUGUUUGAUGUUCUAACGUGGACCCGUGAUCCGGGUUGCGGACAGUGUCUGGUGGGUAGUUUGACUGGGGCGGUCUCCUCCUAAAGAGUAACGGAGGAGCACGAAGGUUGGCUAAUCCUGGUCGGACAUCAGGAGGUUAGUGCAAUGGCAUAAGCCAGCUUGACUGCGAGCGUGACGGCGCGAGCAGGUGCGAAAGCAGGUCAUAGUGAUCCGGUGGUUCUGAAUGGAAGGGCCAUCGCUCAACGGAUAAAAGGUACUCCGGGGAUAACAGGCUGAUACCGCCCAAGAGUUCAUAUCGACGGCGGUGUUUGGCACCUCGAUGUCGGCUCAUCACAUCCUGGGGCUGAAGUAGGUCCCAAGGGUAUGGCUGUUCGCCAUUUAAAGUGGUACGCGAGCUGGGUUUAGAACGUCGUGAGACAGUUCGGUCCCUAUCUGCCGUGGGCGCUGGAGAACUGAGGGGGGCUGCUCCUAGUACGAGAGGACCGGAGUGGACGCAUCACUGGUGUUCGGGUUGUCAUGCCAAUGGCACUGCCCGGUAGCUAAAUGCGGAAGAGAUAAGUGCUGAAAGCAUCUAAGCACGAAACUUGCCCCGAGAUGAGUUCUCCCUGACCCUUUAAGGGUCCUGAAGGAACGUUGAAGACGACGACGUUGAUAGGCCGGGUGUGUAAGCGCAGCGAUGCGUUGAGCUAACCGGUACUAAUGAACCGUGAGGCUUAACCUU